CUCCUAUUUAAACCUGCUUCAGUGCUCUUCAUUGCGUGCUGUUGUAGGCCGGUACAAUUACUUUGAACAAAUUAGAGUGCUUAAAGCAGGCUCCAAAUGCCUGAAUAUUUUGUGCAUGGAAUAAUGAAAUAAGACCUCUGUUCUACUUUCAUUGGUUUUUAGAUCAAGAGGUAAUGAUUAAUAGAAGCAGUUUGGGGGCAUUAGUAUUACGACGCGAGAGGUGAAAUUCUUGGACCGUCGUAAGACUAACUUAAGCGAAAGCAUUUGCCAAAGAUGUUUUCAUUAAUCAAGAACGAAAGUUAGAGGCUCGAAGGCGAUCAGAUACCGCCCUAGUUCUAACCAUAAACGAUGCCAGCUAGCAAUUGGGUGUAGCUACUAUUAUGGCUCUCUCAGUCGCUUCCCGGGAAACCAAAGCUUUCGGGCUCCGGGGGAAGUAUGGUUGCAAAGCUGAAACUUAAAGGAAUUGACGGAAGGGCACCACCAGGAGUGGAGCCUGCGGCUUAAUUUGACCCAACACGGGAAAACUUACCAGGUCCGAACAUAAGCGUGUAAGACAGAUUGAUAGCUCUUUCUCGAAUCUAUGGGUGGUGGUGCAUGGCCGUUCUUAGUUCGUGGAGUGAUUUGUCUGGUUAAUUCCGAUAACGAACGAGACUCAAAUAUAUUAAAUAGAUGCUUUCAGGAUUAUGGUGUUUGAAGCUUUUAUAGCCUUCAUUCAUGAAUGCAGUAACAUGUGUGAGUGUUUGAAUGUGUUUAUAAAGGUGGAGCCGUACCUGUUGGUUUGUCCCAUUAUAAGGACACUAGCUUCUUAAAUGGACAAAUUGCGUCUAGCAAUAAUGAGAUUGAGCAAUAACAGGUCUGUGAUGCCCUUAGAUGUCCUGGGCUGCACGCGCGCUACAAUGAAAGUAUCAACGUGUAUUUCCUAGACCGAGAGGUCCGGGUAAACCGCUGAACCACUUUCAUGCUUGGGAUUGUGAACUGAAACUGUUCACAUGAACUUGGAAUUCCCAGUAAGUGUGAGUCAUUAACUCGCAUUGAUUACGUCCCUGCCCUUUGUACACACCGCCCGUCGCUACUACCGAUUGAAUUAUUUAGUGAGGUCUCCGGACGUGAUCACUGUAACGCCUUGCGUGUUACGGAUGUUUCGCAAAAGUUGACCGAACUUGAUUAUUUAGAGGAAGUAAAAGUC
rnacentral:rRNA from 1 species